CCUACGGGAGGCAGCAGUGAGGAAUAUUGGUCAAUGGGCUUACGCCUGAACCAGCCAAGUCGCGUGAGGGAAGACUGCCCUAUGGGUUGUAAACCUCUUUUGUCAGGGAGCAACGCCGGCUACGUGUAGCCGGACUGAGAGUACCUGAAGAAAAAGCAUCGGCUAACUCCGUGCCAGCAGCCGCGGUAAUACGGAGGAUGCGAGCGUUAUCCGGAUUGAUUGGGUUUAAAGGGUGCGUAGGCGGAAUGCCAAGUCAGCGGUAAAAUCGCGGGGCUCAACCUCGCUCCGCCGUUGAAACUGGCGUUCUUGAGUGGGCGAGAAGUAUGCGGAAUGCGUGGUGUAGCGGUGAAAUGCAGAGAUAUCACGCAGAACUCCGAUUGCGAAGGCAGCAUACCGGCGCCCAACUGACGCUGAAGCACGAAAGCGUGGGUAUCGAACAGGAUUAGAUACCCCAGUAGUC
rnacentral:rRNA from 1 species